UUACGGCCGUAUCACGUUGAACCACUGGUUCCCGUACGAUCACCGAAGUUAAGCAACGUUGAGCCAGAUUAGUACCUAGAUGGAUGAUCGCUCGGGAAUACUAGGCGCU